rnacentral:rRNA from 1 species
UAUUAUAUAAUAUUUUAAAGAAAUAAGGACUGGAGUAGUAAUAGUUAAGGUCUUGAAACUCAAAGAAUUUGGCGGUGUUUUAGUCCUUUCAGAGGAAUCUGUCCUAUAAUUGAUAAUACACGAUUUAUUGUACUUUCUUUUGUUGUUCAAUUUGUAUACCGUCGUCAUAAGAUUAUCUUAUAGAGGGGUAAAAAUUUCUUUAUUGCUUAAUAGUAGUUAUGUCAGAUCAAGGUGCAGUAGAUAGGGAAGAGAGAGAUGGAUUACAAUAAUAAUAAUUAUAUGGAUAUUUAAAUAUAUUAGUUAAAUUGAAGGUGGAUUUGAUUGUAAAUGUAGAUUAAAUUGUUAUGUUGAUUUGGGCUCUAAAAUGUGCACACAUCGCCCGUCGCUCUCUUAUUUAAUAUGAG